AGCAGAAAGCUGUGUUAGCAGCUCCCGAUAGAAAUAUCGAGAUGAUAAGUGGGUGAAUUCAAGGAACGUUACGUUCAGUUUACAUGAACGUAAUAACCCUGAGCCAAGCUUCGCAUUUGCGAGGAAGGUGCAGAGACUAGGUGAUUACACCCUCGAGCGCCCACCACCUAAAGCGGAAAGCAACGGUGAAGAGAUAGUCCAAAAAGUAACUUUAAGGUCGUA
rnacentral:ncRNA from 1 species